rnacentral:rRNA from 1 species
AACGAACGCUGGCGGCAUGCCUAACACAUGCAAGUCGAACGAGACCUUCGGGUCUAGUGGCGCACGGGUGCGUAACGCGUGGGAAUCUGCCCUUGGGUUCGGAACAACAGUUGGAAACGACUGCUAAUACCGGAUGAUGACUUCGGUCCAAAGAUUUAUCGCCCAGGGAUGAGCCCGCGUAGGAUUAGCUUGUUGGUGAGGUAAAAGCUCACCAAGGCGACGAUCCUUAGCUGGUCUGAGAGGAUGAUCAGCCACACUGGGACUGAGACACGGCCCAGACUCCUACGGGAGGCAGCAGUGGGGAAUAUUGGACAAUGGGCGAAAGCCUGAUCCAGCAAUGCCGCGUGAGUGAUGAAGGCCUUAGGGUUGUAAAGCUCUUUUACCCGGGAUGAUAAUGACAGUACCGGGAGAAUAAGCCCCGGCUAACUCCGUGCCAGCCGCCGCAGUAAAAC